CUACGGGUUGCUCCAGUGAGGAAUAUUGCACAAUGGGGGGAACCCUGAUGCAGCAACGCCGCGUGGAGGAUGACGCAUUUCGGUGUGUAAACUCCUUUUAUAUGUCAAGAAAAUGACGGUAGCAUAUGAAUAAGCACCGGCUAACUCCGUGCCAGCAGCCGCGGUAAUACGGAGGGUGCAAGCGUUACUCGGAAUCACUGGGCGUAAAGGACGCGUAGGCGGGUUGGAAAGUCAGGUGUGAAAUCCUACAGCUUAACUGUAGAACUGCACUUGAAACUUCUAAUCUAGAGUAUGGGAGGGGGAGAUGGAAUUAGUGGUGUAAGGGUAAAAUCCGUAGAUAUCACUAGGAAUACCUAAAGCGAAGGCGAUCUCCUGGAACAUUACUGACGCUAAGGCGUGAAAGUGUGGGGAGCAAACAGGAUUAGAUACCCUUGUAGUC
rnacentral:rRNA from 1 species